GCAAGCAGGACUAGGUCGUCAGCAUAGGC
rnacentral:piRNA from 1 species